rnacentral:autocatalytically_spliced_intron from 1 species
UAGCGCCGUAUACGAGAACCGUACGUACGGUGCAAUGGGAGGGGCGAAAGAUUUUACUUUCCCUCUACCCUAU